UUUUCUGACCGAACCUUGGGUAAGUGUUCUGACAACCUAACCCCGAAGCCAUAUAUUGGGAUUUGAUUGAUAAAUGGAUAAAUUUGAUGCUUGGAAGGUGCAAGUUCGUACAGGGAAGAGGAGGUCCGAACCGAUGUGGGCUUUCCGGGCGUGUUUUAUUGACAAAAUUCCCUAAUUUUCUACUAGUGUUGUUGUACAGCUUAUACAGGUUUUGCUGGCUCGAGUUUUUUCGGUUUAUACGCUCUGCAAUCUGCUUGUGUGCAAGUUCGUACAGGGAAGAGGAGGUCCGAACCGAUGUGGGCUUUCCGGGCGUGUUUUAUUGACAAAAUUCCCUAAUUUUCUACUAGUGUUGUUGUACAGCUUAUACAGGUUUUGCUGGCUCGAGUUUUUUCGGUUUAUACGCUCUGCAAUCUGCUUGUGUGCGAGUGAGUGGGAAACUAUAAAUGAUAUUUGUAUUAUGUUCAAUGUGUAUAUGUAAUAUAAAACCUGUGCGUGUCUGUAAGUAUGUAUAUAAACAUAUAUAGGAUCUAGUGUAUGCUUGGAUGAAAAUAUAUAUUUAUAAGAGAAAGAAAAUAAAUUUUAGGGAUGGUAAUGAAAA